ensembl:lncRNA
GGGAGCCCUGCUCCCGCCGCUGGGCUCUCAGUCGGGUCCGACUCUGUGCGCCCCGUGGACUGCAGCCCGCCAGCCUCCUCUGUGCACGGGAUUCUCCAGGCAAGAAUCCUGGGUCAGGUUGCCAUGCCCUUCUCCAGGGGACCUUCCCGACCCAGGGAUCAAACCUGGGUUUCCUGCGUUGCAAGCAGAUUCUUUACCACUGAGCCACCACGAAAGCCCAAAUGUGAGCACACUUAGUAUGAAUUAAAAGAUUUCAAGGUAUUCUUACAGAAACAGACCCAGUGGAAACAGACUUCUCUUUAGGGGAGCCAAAUGAUGCCAAAUUUUGUGUUCUCCAGGAAAUGUAAGAAAUUGCGGAGGGGACUUUUGGAUGAAUACCUUCUUAUAUUGGAGUCAUCAAGUUAAAUUUUUGUUUGUACCAUUUUAAGAGUAAAAGAUACACAGGCUCACUUCAGAGAUAUGUCAGGUUCAGUUCCAGUGAAAGAAGUCAUUCAGUCGUGUCCUACUCUUUGCGACCCCAUGAACUGUAGCCUUCUAGUCUUCUCCAUCCAUGAAAUUUUCCAGAAAUGUGAGAGCUGGCAUUUGAAUCUGAUGUGCUUGACUUGUUAAUCCGAACUCUUCUCUUUAGAGAAGGGGUAUCUUUUGGGGAGGAGGACUUGCGUUUUACCACUGUGGAUUUUUUCCACGCUGUGUAAUUAUUGCUCCUUGGCCUUUGCUUCUUCUCAGAUAUCCAGACCCAAAAGAAUCAGUAAUACUGCGGAGAUACUGUCUCUACAUCUCAUCUGAGAUGGCCAAAGGUAGAUGUCCAGGGCAAGACGAGGAGCCAGGACUCACAGAGCAGAAAGUAAUCUGCUCAUGGCAUUCCCGUGUUGUAAGAUGAAUUAAAUGGAUGAUUCUGAUUUCAUGGUUGGGUUAUAAGUAGUCCUGGAAAUAAGUCAUACACUAAAUAGUCAAUAAACAUUUGUUGAAUUGACCUGCAUGGAAAAUAUUACUAAUCAACAUAACUUGGAUGGUCUCAAUGGAUACUGCUCAAUUCAUUCUAUUAAUAUACCAUAGAAAGUCACCACCAAAAAUCCUUGCCUGGCUACUAAUUACUUACAAAAGCUACACCAUUUAAUUUUGAAAUAAUAG